rnacentral:rRNA from 1 species
UGUGGAAUUGAAACAAAGCAUUGCGAGGGUGUCGAGGCAUUGUGAUUUCUGCCCAGUGCUCUGAAUGUCACGGUGAAUAAAUUGCAAUAAAGCCGAAGCGCUGGUAAACAGCGGGAGUAACUAUGACUCUCUGAAUGUGAAUCAUCGAGAUACGUCGUUGCGCACGACGCGCGUACGUAGCGAAAGGUAUAUUUUUGAACAGAAUCUUACUUUCGAUUCAUGAUAAAAUGAAAAUAAAGGAAGUA